rnacentral:rRNA from 1 species
CUAAAAACUUAGCUCUUCUACAUCAAAUGCCCACACCUCUUAACUAUUAUUAAAUAAAACAUUUUAUCCAUUUAGUAACGGCGAUUAAAAAAUGUCUAGAAGCUAUAGAAACCAGUACCGCAAGGGAAAAGUGAAAUAAAAAUGAAAUAUUGUAAAGCAUAACAUAGCAGAGACUACCCCUCGUACCUUUUGCAUCAUGGUCUAACUAGUCUAACCAAGCACAAUGCAUUUUAAGUUUGACAUCCCGAAACUAGGUGAGCUACUUAAGAACAGCCUUCAGGGCUAACCCGUCUGUGUUGCAAAAGAGUGGGAAGAUUCUUUAGUAGAGGUGACAGACCUAUCGAACCUAGAGAUAGGUGGUUAUUCAAGAAAAGGAUUUUAGUCCUACCUAAGGUUCCACAUAUAUUAUAAUACACAACAAACCUUUAGAGCUAUUCAAAUAAGGUACAGCCUAUUGAUACAGGAUACAACCUCA